rnacentral:rRNA from 1 species
GACGAACGCUGGCGGCGUGCUUAACACAUGCAAGUCGAGCGGUAAGGCCCUUUCGGGGGUACACGAGCGGCGAACGGGUGAGUAACACGGUGGGUGACCUGCCCUCAGCUCUGGGAUAAGCCUGGGAAACCGGGUCUAAUACUGGAUAUGACUCCAUGACGCAUGUUGUGGGGUGGAAAGCCUUGUGCGGCUGAGGAUGGGCCCGCGGCCUAUCAGCUUGUUGGUGGGGUGAUGGCCUACCAAGGCGACGACGGGUAGCCGGCCUGAGAGGGCGACCGGCCACACUGGGACUGAGACACGGCCCAGACUCCUACGGGAGGCAGCAGUGGGGAAUCUUGCGCAAUGGGCGAAAGCCUGACGCAGCGACGCCGCGUGAGGGAUGACGGCCUCGGU